GGUUCGGUUAGGAGUAGGGUUAGGGUUAGGGUUAGAGGUUCCCUAACCCUACUCCUAACCCUACCCCUAACCCUACCCUAACCGAACC